rnacentral:rRNA from 1 species
GUACACACCGCCCGUCGCUGCCUAGAACUGAGUCGAUUCGAGAAGAUAGAGGAGAAAAUAUGUGUAUGCAAAUACAUGUAUAUUGAAUCUAUUUGAUCGUAUUGGUUUGAACCAGGCAAAAGUCGUAACAAGGUGGCCGUAGGUGAACCUGCGGGCCGGAUCAUUA